rnacentral:rRNA from 1 species
GGAGUAUGUGGUAAUUCGACUCAACGCGCAACAAUUUACUUGGUCCGAACGCUUUGAGGAUUGACAGUUAUUGUAUAGUUCUGAUAUGGGUGGUAUUUGUAGUCAACGUGUAGGUAGUUGUAUAUUAAAUAUGAAAGUUCUUUUAUGAUUAUGUGAUAGGUGGUGCAUGGCCGUCCUUAAUUCGUGGAGUGAUUUGUCUGCUUAAUUGCGCAUUGCAAAUUGUAAUUGAUCUUUUACCAGUCUCGUUCUGAUUUAUGUUGUGAAUAUUGAAAUAUUGUUGUCGUCAGUCAUUAUUGCCACUACGUCUGGUCCUUUGGGCAGAAUAGUGUUGUAUAUUUUGUCUUGUCAACACAAAAUUCUUCCAAUAUUGUAGCCGUACUUGAUUGUAUGCGCUAUUCAUGUAUAUGUGGUUAGUCAACACCAGUUCGGCUGCUUGCACACAUCGCCAUCUCAACAUGAUAGUCAGGCUGCUAGAGACCUUGUGUCUUGCCCCAAAGGUUGAUUAACACCGUGAGUGCAACGAGUGAGAUUGCAAGCCUUUGUUAUGUAGUGAACAACAUAUACCUACUACUACUACUUUGUAGUAAUGUAGGAUUCCAACUACACACAGAAUAACCAUUAAGGUGAAAUGAACUCAGGCGACUGCUAUACUUUAAAUGGGGAAGGUUGUGGCAAUAACAGGGC